rnacentral:rRNA from 1 species
AAAAAGUAGGUCCUAGUUCAGAUUGUGGGCUGAAACCCGCCCACAUAAAGCUGAAUUUGCUAGUAAUCCCGGAUCAGCAUGCCGGGGUGAAUCCGUUCCCGGGUCUUGUACACACCGCCCGUCACACCAUGGGAGUCGGUAACACCCGAAGCCUGUAGUCUAACCGCAAGGAGGACGCAGUCGAAGGUGGGAUUGAUGACUGGGGUGAAGUCGUAACAAGGUAGC